AGAGUUUGAUCCUGGCUCAGGAUGAACGCUGGCGGCGUGCCUAAUACAUGCAAGUCGAGCGAACGGACGAGAAGCUUGCUUCUCUGAUGUUAGCGGCGGACGGGUGAGUAACACGUGGAUAACCUACCUAUAAGACUGGGAUAACUUCGGGAAACCGGAGCUAAUACCGGAUAAUAUUUUGAACCGCAUGGUUCAAAAGUGAAAGACGGUCUUGCUGUCACUUAUAGAUGGAUCCGCGCUGCAUUAGCUAGUUGGUAAGGUAACGGCUUACCAAGGCAACGAUGCAUAGCCGACCUGAGAGGGUGAUCGGCCACACUGGAACUGAGACACGGUCCAGACUCCUACGGGAGGCAGCAGUAGGGAAUCUUCCGCAAUGGGCGAAAGCCUGACGGAGCAACGCCGCGUGAGUGAUGAAGGUCUUCGGAUCGUAAAACUCUGUUAUUAGGGAAGAACAUAUGUGUAAGUAACUGUGCACAUCUUGACGGUACCUAAUCAGAAAGCCACGGCUAACUACGUGCCAGCAGCCGCGGUAAUACGUAGGUGGCAAGCGUUAUCCGGAAUUAUUGGGCGUAAAGCGCGCGUAGGCGGUUUUUUAAGUCUGAUGUGAAAGCCCACGGCUCAACCGUGGAGGGUCAUUGGAAACUGGAAAACUUGAGUGCAGAAGAGGAAAGUGGAAUUCCAUGUGUAGCGGUGAAAUGCGCAGAGAUAUGGAGGAACACCAGUGGCGAAGGCGACUUUCUGGUCUGUAACUGACGCUGAUGUGCGAAAGCGUGGGGAUCAAACAGGAUUAGAUACCCUGGUAGUCCACGCCGUAAACGAUGAGUGCUAAGUGUUAGGGGGUUUCCGCCCCUUAGUGCUGCAGCUAACGCAUUAAGCACUCCGCCUGGGGAGUACGACCGCAAGGUUGAAACUCAAAGGAAUUGACGGGGACCCGCACAAGCGGUGGAGCAUGUGGUUUAAUUCGAAGCAACGCGAAGAACCUUACCAAAUCUUGACAUCCUUUGACAACUCUAGAGAUAGAGCCUUCCUCUUCGGGGGACAAAGUGACAGGUGGUGCAUGGUUGUCGUCAGCUCGUGUCGUGAGAUGUUGGGUUAAGUCCCGCAACGAGCGCA
rnacentral:rRNA from 1 species